rnacentral:rRNA from 1 species
CUAAUUUUUUUGCACCGGAUCCCAUCAGAACUCCGAAGUUAAGCGUGCUUGGGCGAGAGUAGUACUAGGAUGGGUGACCUCCUGGGAAGUCCUCGU